UACAGAGGUCCCAAGCGUUACUGAGAAUCACUGGGUUUAAAGGGUGCGUAGGUGGUCCGUUAAGUCAGUUGUGAAAUCCCCCGGCUCAACCGGGGAACGGGCGCGGAUACGACCUUCCUUGAGGGGCGUAGGGGGACCUGGAACUUCCGGUGGAGCGGUGAAAUGCGUUGAGAUCGGAAGGAACGCCCGUGGCGAAAGCGAGGUCCUGGACGCCUACUGACGCUGAGACGCGAAAGCCAGGGGAGCGAACGGG
rnacentral:rRNA from 1 species